rnacentral:rRNA from 1 species
AUGGCCAGCAACUCCACCUCUGCAGUUAGCCAUGCCCAGUGCCUGCCCAAGACCUCGUCGAGAUGCAUCACCCCUACCUUCACCUCAACGCAUGAUUUCGAGAUCAGCAGUUACCCGCUGCUCGAAGGCAUUGGCGUCGAAAGGCUCGUCAGCUCGACCGUCUUCAGCGUCGGCGGCUUCAAUUGGGUAAUCUAUUUCUUCCCCGACGGAGUAAGAAAUGGCGGUUUCGGCAAUGCUUCGGCGUUCUUGAACUGCCUCAGCCCGGAAAUGGAUGUGAGAGCAAGGUUCACACUGAACUUGCUGGGCAAAGAUGGUGUACAGGUUACCAAGUAUGAGGAGGUGGAGGAUACCUUCUCCUCCGAAUGCGUUUAUCUGGGCUAUCCUCAGUUCGUCGACAGAUCGAGGCUGAGAUCAGUGUCGCUCGAAAACAAUGGGAGCUUCAUUAUCCGGUGCGUUCUCACCGUGAUCGGAGAGCCCUACACUGAGGGGAGACAUGUCAUUCCCCCGUCGCCUCCGCUGCCGAUUCUGCGAGACAGCAAGAGAUCUGUUAUGCGCAUCAAGGGGGCGCACCACUGA